UACGAAGGGGGGCUAGCGUUGUUCGGAAUUACUGGGCGUAAAGCGCACGUAGGCGGAUAUUUAAGUCAGGGGUGAAAUCCCAGAGCUCAACUCUGGAACUGCCUUUGAUACUGGGUAUCUUGAGUAUGGAAGAGGUAAGUGGAAUUGCGAGUGUAGAGGUGAAAUUCGUAGAUAUUCGCAGGAACACCAGUGGCGAAGGCGGCUUACUGGUCCAUAACUGACGCUGAGGUGCGAAAAGCGUGGGGAGCAAACAGG
rnacentral:rRNA from 1 species